rnacentral:rRNA from 1 species
CGGUAAUUCCAGCUCCAAUAGCGUAUACUAAAGUUGUUGCAGUUAAAAAGCUCGUAGUUGGAUUUCUGCGGGGACGGAGCGGCCGGUCGCAACUUGCGACUCGAGCUAGCGCUUUCCCCGCAUCCUGCCGCGAACCGUGCUACCAUUAGUUUGGUGGCGCUGGGGAUCGGCUCGAUUACUUUGAGAAAAAUAGAGUGUUCAAAGCAGGCCACACGCCUUGAAUAAGUUAGCAUGGAAUAAUGACUAAGGACUUUGGUCCUUUUCGUUGGUGUUCGGGACUGGAGUAAUGAUUGAUAGGGACAGUUGGGGCGGUCCGUAUUCCAAAGCGAGAGGUGAAAUUCUUAGACCUUCGGAAGACGAACAGCUGCGAAAGCGUUCCGCAAGGAUGUUCCCUUUGAUCAAGAACGAAAGUUGGGGGAUCGAAGACGAUCAGAUACCGUCGUAGUCUCAACUAUAAACUAUACCAGCUAGGGAUCGGCCAACGUUUAAUUAUUCGACUUGGUCGGCACCUUAUGAGAAAUCAAAGCAUCUGGGUUCCGGGGGGAGUAUGGUCGCAAGGCUGAAACUUAAAGGAAUUGACGGAAGGGCACCACCAGGCGUGGAGCCUGUGGCUUAAUUUGACUCAACACGGGAAAACUUACCAGGUCCAGACAUAGGAAGAAUUGACAGAUUGAUAGCUCUUUCUUGAUUCUGUGGGUGGUGGUGCAUGGCCGUUUUUAGUCGGUGAAGUGAUUUGUCUGCUUAAUUGCGUUAACGGACGAGACCCCAGCCUGCUAAAUAGCGCGGCCGAGCUUUGCUCGGUACGAGCUUCUUAGAGGGACCAUGAUGCGCGAUAGCACAAGGAAGCUUGGGGCAACAACAGGUCUGUGAUGCCCUUAGAUGUUCUGGGCCGCACACGGGCUACACUGGCGCCUGCACCGAGCAUAUCAGCUGGCCCGAGAGGGUCUUGGCUAAUCUUUGGAACCGGCGCCGUGCUUGGGAUUGACCAUUGCAAUUGUUGGUCAUGCAACGAGGAAUGCCUUGUAAACGCGAGUCAUCAGCUCGCAUUGAAUACGUCCCUGCCCUUUGUACACACCGCCCGUCGCUCCUACCGAUGAAUGUUCCGAUGAAAUUUUCGGAGAGCGCCGGAGAACGGGGCUCUGCCCUGCAGAACUGGAGGCUCAAAGUCACUUAAAUCUGAACAUUUCGAGGAAGGAGAAGUCGUAACAAGGUAGCCG